rnacentral:rRNA from 1 species
UCAUGGCUCAGGAUGAACGCUGGCGGCGUGCCUAAUACAUGCAAGUCGAACGAGGUGCUUUUGUAGCAAUACGAGAGUAUCCUAGUGGCGAACGGGUGAGUAACGCGUUGGUGACCUACCCCAAAGUGUGGGAUAACAGUCCGAAAGGAUUGCUAAUACCGCAUGUGGUCUUCGGAUUUAGAAACUGAUGACUAAAGGAGCAAUUCGCUUUGGGAGGGACCUGCGUCCCAUCAGCUAGUUGGUGAGGUAACGGCUCACCAAGGCGACGACGGGUAGGGGACCUGAGAGGGUGGCCCCCCACAAUGGAACUGAAACACGGUCCAUACACCUACGGGUGGCAGCAGUAGGGAAUAUUGCUCAAUGGGCGAAAGCCUGAAGCAGCAACGCCGCGUGUGCGAUGAAGGCCUUCGGGUCGUAAAGCACUUUUCUGAGAGAUGAGAAAGGACAGUAUCUCAGGAAUAAGUCUCGGCUAACUACGUGCCAGCAGCCGCGGUAAAACGUAGGAGGCAAGCGUUAUCCGGAUUCACUGGGCGUAAAGCGCGUGCAGGCGGUGCGGUAAGUUGGGCGUGAAAUCUCCCGGCUCAACUGGGAUAGGUCGUCCAAUACUACCGUACUUGAGAGCAGAAGAGGAAAACGGAAUUCCCGGUGUAGUGGUGAAAUGCGUAGAUAUCGGGAGGAACACCAGUGGCGAAGGCGAUUUUCUGGUCUGUUUCUGACGCUCAGACGCGACAGCUAGGGUAGUAAACGGGAUUAGAGACCCCGGUAAUCCUAGCCGUAAACGAUGUGAACUUGGCGUUGGUGGGUUAAACUCCAUCAGUGCCGUAGCAAACGCGAUAAGUUCACCGCCUGG